AGAUACAUAUGCAUAUUCGUUGAUAAAAAAGAAGAAGAAAAAAAGAUGCAUAUGCGUAUAACGUAUUCAAGUUAUAGUUUUCCAUGUUUGUUGCUUUGAGGUAUUUAUAAUUACAAUAUAGACUUAUUCUCGAACCACGACACUCGCAUGUUGAAGCAUUUUUAGCAGAGUUAUGGUGGUCCUAAUAGUGAUAUCACGGAUGAACCAAGAAAAUGGCGGUAAAUUAAAAGGAGGAUAUGGCUGAAAGUAUUGGUCCAUUGUUACUUUCGAUGCAAUCCUUCCUUGUCCGCCACUACAUAUUUUGUAUUCUUGCGGACUCUUCGGCUCAUUGUGCCUGCACAAGCGUACUGAAUCUACAUAUAGUGGCUCCACUUUAUAGCUACCAUCGAAUACU
rnacentral:lncRNA from 1 species